UUUGCAAAACUGCGUAAUUUUAUAAACAAUCUCUGUAAUUUCGAGUUUUAAACCAGCAUACAAUUAAACAUUCUGUAAACUGUUUGUAACUUGUAUAGUUUAGGCAUACUUCUUAGGUGCAGGCUUAGCCUAUUUAAAAUGUAUCUUAUGCGUUUUUGUAAAUCUAUUGUGCGAUUAGCCUGCUGCACUGUCUGCUGUAAUGAAAGUGAAAGUUAGGGGGACGGGUCUGUUUCGUUUUGUUUAGCGAACGAAAGGUUGCUUUAUUGUUUGUUUUUGAGUCCCUGUUAGCGAGAACUCACAUCAAAGGAUCAAGGAUGGUGAAAGUACAUGAGGUCACCAUUGGAAACACACUGAACUGCGAAAAAGACUUCAGGACAUGUCUCAAACAGAAGCUCCGAUCUUGGACUGAAACAACCGACUGGGACUGCAGUGAUGUCAUCCUGGCCUACUGCCCAAUCGUCUCCCGAGUUGGGACUGACAUCGAGGCUGCACUCGGGAAAAUUCCUGGCCGUAAGCCUACUGUCCUGGUGGUGCUCCAUCACACGUUUGAUCAAGAUUACAUCCUGCCAGACACAGGAAGAUUUGUAAACAGGCAAGACAUGAUCACAGUGAAUUGCCUUUUUCACGAGUCCCAAGGACUGCUGAGAAGCCGACACCUUGACAGAGCUUUAGCAGAUACUUUAGAUUUCCUCCGAAAAUAUGAUCCUUCUCAUCUUUCUCCUCGCAAUCAAGAUGAAGAUAGUGGUGCAAAGGGGCCUGUUGCUCAGUUCAACCGGUUCAAGGGUGUUAAGGGUUUUUUAUUCAUUGGUGGUGCCAUUGGUGGUGCUAUUGGUGUCUUUUUUGUUAUUAGACACUUGCAUAGACGCGGAAAAUUUCUAGCACUAGUAAACUUAAGUCGGGGAAUUUUUGGAAUAUUCCAAGUUAAAAACCUUCAUGGAAAUAAAGGAAAUAAUGAGAAAUAAUGUCCAUUUCAGCUGACUAUCGCUUUGUCAAGCUAAAUCAGACCAGCAAUAUGACCAGCAAUAAAUAUGGUUAUUAACAGUUGUUAGCUUAUGCAAAAUGAUGGACUCUCAAAGUGACAACAAGCCCACAGCUGGGCGACUCUGUUCACAAUUUCCCCCCAGUUCCCACAGUGAUUCCCACAUGAGAUGAUGUUCACAAUGAUUAUGUUUUAGUAGGAAAAAAAUGUUCCCAUGCACAUGAAAACACCAUAGGUUUCCUUUUUGCCUAGUAGCCUGAUUGUGGUGUACAUGAUUGAAUUCAACUUAAUUCAGGUUGUUUUAAGUUAUAUUAUGCUGCAAGAUGGGAUUUUUCAACUACAUUCCAGUUCCCUGUUGUGGACUAACUCACCAUGCUGAAUUGUGCAACCCUAGAGACAGCGUACCACCCACGUCACACCAUCCCCCUCCCUUCCUCCCCUCAACAUUAAAUGAAUUGUAUUGUUGUAGUAGAGUAAUAUUUUAUAGAGCAUUUCAAAGCUCUUGGGACUCCAGAUGACCAUUUUCAGGUACAAUCUAUAGUGCUUUACAUUGUCAAAUGAAUCUUAUUAUGUCUCAAUUAAAUAUAAUAAAAAAAAAUGUCCUCCUCCCCCUCCUCCUUCUACCUUCUAGCUGCAGUGUAUAUCCUUAGCAAUAAGUAGAUACAGCAUAUUGGGUCUUGGAAUAUCCACAAGAAUCUGUAGACAUACUGUAGAAAUAUUCAUGGUGUUUUAUCCAAUAUAAAUUAUGCAGAUGUAUAGUUCAUCUUAAACACACCUAUUGA